AGAGUUUGAUCAUGGCUCAGAUUGAACGCUGGCGGUAUGCUUAACACAUGCAAGUCGAACGGUAACAGUCCCUCACCUAGAAAUUUCUUAAAAAGAGAUUUGUAGGUGAGGGAGCUGACGAGUGGCGGACGGGUGCGUAAUGUAUAGGAAUCUGCCUAGUAGUGGGGGACAACUCGGAGAAAUUCGAGCUAAUACCGCAUAAGCCCUACGGGGGAAAACGGGGGAUCUUCGGACCUCGUGCUAUUAGAUGAGCCUAUAUUAGAUUAGCUUGUUGGUGAGGUAAUGGCUCACCAAGGCGACGAUCUAUAGCUGGUCUGAGAGGAUGAUCAGCCACACUGGGACUGAGACACGGCCCAGACUCCUACGGGAGGCAGCAGUGGGGAAUAUUGGACAAUGGGUGAAAGCCUGAUCCAGCAAUACCGCGUGUGUGAAGAAGGCCUGAGGGUUGUAAAGCACUUUCAAUUGGGAGGAAUACCUAAUAGUUAAUAGCUAUUAGAUUGACA
rnacentral:rRNA from 1 species